rnacentral:rRNA from 1 species
AUUGAACGCUGGCGGCAGGCUUAACACAUGCAAGUCGAGCGGGGGAAGGUAGCUUGCUACCGGACCUAGCGGCGGACGGGUGAGUAAUGCUUAGGAAUCUGCCUAUUAGUGGGGGACAACAUCUCGAAAGGGAUGCUAAUACCGCAUACGUCCUACGGGAGAAAGCAGGGGAUCUUCGGACCUUGCGCUAAUAGAUGAGCCUAAGUCGGAUUAGCUAGUUGGUGGGGUAAAGGCCUACCAAGGCGACGAUCUGUAGCGGGUCUGAGAGGAUGAUCCGCCACACUGGGACUGAGACACGGCCCAGACUCCUACGGGAGGCAGCAGUGGGGAAUAUUGGACAAUGGGGGGAACCCUGAUCCAGCCACGCCGCGUGUGUGAAGAAGGCCUUAUGGUUGUAAAGCACUUUAAGCGAGGAGGAGGCUACUCUAGUUAAUACCUAGGGAUAGUGGACGUUACUCGCAGAAUAAGCACCGGCCAACUCUGUGCCAGCAGCCGCCGCAG